rnacentral:rRNA from 1 species
UACGUAGGGGGCUAGCGUUGUCCGGAUUUAUUGGGCGUAAAGAGCGUGUAGGCGGCCAGAUAGGUCUGCUGUGAAAACUCGAGGCUCAACCUCGAGCUGUCGGCGGAAACCAUUUGGCUAGAGUCCGGAAGAGGAGAGUGGAAUUCCUGGUGUAGCGGUGAAAUGCGCAGAAUAUCAGGAAGAACACCUAUGGCGAAGGCAGCUCUCUGGGACGGUACUGACGCUGAGACGCGAAAGCGUGGGAGCGAACAGG